GGCAACGUGGCUGAGUGGUUAUAGCGUAUGACUAGAAGAGCAUCAUAGAAAUCAUAUCCUUUCGGGGGCGUAGGUUCGAAUCCUGCCGUUGUCG